AUGACUAGGGAUAACCUUAGGAAGAGAUACAUCAUCAAACCCCUUGAUUGUGUUUACUGUUUGGAACAAGAGUCUAGUUCUUACCUAUUUUUUGAAUGUAUAGUUGCUAAACAUCUCUAGGCCCACAUUGAGGAAUAUUUCUCUAGUCAGAUUGGCUCAUCCUUUGAAUCUGUCGCCAGAUUCUGGAUUGCUACCAAAAAGUGCUCAGUUUUAAACACUGUUAGCUCAGUUGUCCUUUGGUGCCUCUGGAAAUAUAGAAAUGCUAUGAUUUUCAGUAACACCUCCUGGAUUUCCAUUCCACAGGUCUUAAGGUUGAUCAGGAACAUGGUGAGGAACUGGGCGAUUCUCUCCUCCGGAUCGGACAAGGACAAGUUGAUGAGCUUCGUGGAAACCCUAACAAGAUCCCUCCAGAAACCGUUGGCGAUCACUUGUGGCUGA
rnacentral:rRNA from 1 species